rnacentral:rRNA from 1 species
UAGUCCACGCCGUAAACGAUGUCAACUAGCCGUUGGGACACUUGAUGUCUUAGUGGCGCAGCUAACGCGAUAAGUUGACCGCCUGGGGAGUACGGUCGCAAGGCUAAAACUCAAAGGAAUCGACGGGGGACCCGCACAAGCGGUGGAGUAUGUGGUUUAAUUCGAUGCAACGCGAAAAACCUUACCAGGGUUUGAAAUAAUUUCAAAACUUCUUGAAAGAGAAGCCUCCUUCGGGAUGGAAUUACAGGUGGUGCAUGGCUGUCGUCAGCUCGUGUUGUGAAAUGUCAAGUUAAGUCUUGUAACGAGCGCAACCCAUGUCUCUUGUUGCUGUUUACAGUGCUUAAGAGAAACUGCCGAUCAACAUCGGAGGAAGGUGUGGAUGAUGUCAAGUCAGCAUGCCCCUUACAUCCUGGGCUACACACGUACUACAAUGGUCGAGACAAAGGGUCGCUAACCUGCGAAGGUAUGCCAAUCUCAUAAACUCGAUCUCAGUUCGGAUUGUACU